rnacentral:rRNA from 1 species
AUUGAACGCUGGCGGCAUGCUUUACACAUGCAAGUCGAACGGUAACAGGCCGCAAGGUGCUGACGAGUGGCGAACGGGUGAGUAAUGCAUCGGAACGUGCCCAGUCGUGGGGGAUAACUACUCGAAAGAGUAGCUAAUACCGCAUACGAUCUAUGGAUGAAAGCGGGGGACCGUAAGGCCUCGCGCGAUUGGAGCGGCCGAUGUCAGAUUAGGUAGUUGGUGGGGUAAAGGCUCACCAAGCCAACGAUCUGUAGCUGGUCUGAGAGGACGACCAGCCACACUAGGACUGAGACACGGCCCAGACUCCUACGGGAGGCAGCAGUGGGGAAUUUUGGACAAUGGGCGCAAGCCUGAUCCAGCAACGCCGCGUGCAGGAAGAAGGCCUUCGGGUUGUAAACUGCUUUUGUACGGAACGAAACGGCUCUGGUUAAUACCCGGGGCUAAUGACGGUACCGUAAGAAUAAGCACCGGCUAACUACGUG